rnacentral:rRNA from 1 species
UACAGAGGGGGCAAGCGUUAUUCGGAAUUACUGGGCGUAAAGGGCGCGUAGGCGGUCCGAUAAGUCCUGUGUGAAAUCCCUCGGCUCAACUGAGGAACUGCACGGGAGACUGUCGGGCUUGAGUUCGGGAGAGGGAAGCGGAAUUCCGGGUGUAGCGGUGAAAUGCGUAGAUAUCCGGAGGAACACCGGUGGCGAAGGCGGCUUCCUGGACCGACACUGACGCUGAGGCGCGAAAGCUAGGGGAGCAAACGGG